UACGUAGGGUGCAAGCGUUUGUCCGGAAUUAUUGGGCGUAAAGAGCUCGUAGGCGGCCUGUCGCGUCGGCUGUGAAAACCUGGGGCUCAACCCCGGGCCUGCAGCCGAUACGGGCAGGCUAGAAUUCGGUAGGGGAGACUGGAAUUCCUGGUGUAGCGGUGAAAUGCGCAGAUAUCAGGAGGAACACCGGUGGCGAAGGCGGGUCUCUGGGCCGAUAUUGACGCUGAGGAGCGAAAGCGUGGGGAGCGAACAGG
rnacentral:rRNA from 1 species